rfam:Hypersaline lake metagenome contig00515, whole genome shotgun sequence.
UUGACCGAUUCUAAAAUACCAGAUGCCCAGGCAGGCUGGGAAAAGGCAUUUACAACCCUUCUGACAGCCAUGGGUGGUUCUAACUAUAUCCAUCACGCAG